rnacentral:rRNA from 1 species
AUUGAACGCUGGCGGGAGGCCUUACACAUGCAAGUCGCACGAGUGGCGGACGGGUGAGUAAUGUCUGGGAAACUGCCCGAUGGAGGGGGAUAACUCCUGGAAACGGUAGCUAAUACCGCAUACCAUCGGAUGUGCCCAGAUGGGAUUAGCUAGUAGGUGGGGUAAAGGCUCACCAAGGCAACGAUCCCUAGCUGGUCUGAGAGGAUGACCAGCCACACGGGAACUGAGACACGGCCCAGACUCCGAAGGGAGGCAGCAGUGGGGAAUAUUGCACAAUGGGCGCAAGCCUGAUGCAGCCAUGCCGCGUGUAUGAAGAAGGCCUUCGGGUUGUAAAGUACUUUCAGCGAGGAGGCGUUACUCGCAGAAGAAGCACCGGCUAACUCCGUGCCAGCCGCCGCGGUAAUUC